rnacentral:rRNA from 1 species
AUUGAACGCUGGCGGCAUGCUUUACACAUGCAAGUCGAACGGCAGCGCGGGCUUCGGCCUGGCGGCGAGUGGCGAACGGGUGAGUAAUGCAUCGGAACGUGCCCAGUAGUGGGGGAUAGCCCGGCGAAAGCCGGAUUAAUACCGCAUACGACCUGAGGGUGAAAGCGGGGGACCGAAAGGCCUCGCGCUAUUGGAGCGGCCGAUGUCGGAUUAGCUAGUUGGUGGGGUAAAGGCUUACCAAGGCGACGAUCCGUAGCUGGUCUGAGAGGACGACCAGCCACACUGGGACUGAGACACGGCCCAGACUCCUACGGGAGGCAGCAGUGGGGAAUUUUGGACAAUGGGGGAAACCCUGAUCCAGCAAUGCCGCGUGCGGGAAGAAGGCCUUCGGGUUGUAAACCGCUUUUAUUCGGGAAGAAAUCCUCUGGGCUAAUACCCCGGGGGGAUGACGGUACCGGAAGAAUAAGCACCGGCUAACUACGUG